rnacentral:rRNA from 1 species
AUUGAACGCUAGCGGGAUGCUUUACACAUGCAAGUCGAACGAGUGGCGGACGGGUGAGUAAUAUAUCGGAACGUGCCCAGUAGCGGGGGAUAACUCCUCGAAAGAGUGGCUAAUACUGCAUACUAUUGGAGCGGCCGAUAUCGGAUUAGCUAGUUGGUGGGGUAAAGGCCCACCACGGCAACGAUACGUAGCUGGUUUGAGAGGACGACCAGCGCAACUGGGACUGAUGCACUGCCCAUACCCCUACGGGAGGGAGCAGUGGGGAACUUUGGACAAAGUGGGAAGCCCAGAUACUGCCAUCCCGCGUUUAUGAGAAGACCUUCGGGUUGUACAGUACUUUUGGCAGAGCCGCGGUAUCGGCAGAAUCAGCACCGGCUAACUACGUGCCAGCCGCCGCGGUAAUAC